rnacentral:rRNA from 1 species
UCCUGACUGACCGAUAGUGAACCAGUACCGUGAGGGAAAGGCGAAAAGAACCCCGGCGAGGGGAGUGAAAAAGAACCUGAAACCGUGUACGUACAAGCAGUGGGAGCACGCUUAGGCGUGUGACUGCGUACCUUUUGUAUAAUGGGUCAGCGACUUAUAUUCUGUAGCAAGGUUAACCGAAUAGGGGAGCCGAAGGGAAACCGAGUCUUAACUGGGCGUUAAGUUGCAGGGUAUAGACCCGAAACCCGGUGAUCUAGCCAUGGGCAGGUUGAAGGUUGGGUAACACUAACUGGAGGACCGAACCGACUAAUGUUGAAAAAUUAGCGGAUGACUUGUGGCUGGGGGUGAAAGGCCAAUCAAACCGGGAGAUAGCUGGUUCUCCCCGAAAGCUAUUUAGGUAGCGCCUCGUGAAUUCAUCUCCGGGGGUAGAGCACUGUUUCGGCAAGGGGGUCAUCCCGACUUACCAACCCGAUGCAAACUGCGAAUACCGGAGAAUGUUAUCACGGGAGACACACGGCGGGUGCUAACGUCCGUCGUGAAGAGGGAAACAACCCAGACCGCCAGCUAAGGUCCCAAAGUCAUGGUUAAGUGGGAAACGAUGUGGGAAGGCCCAGACAGCCAGGAUGUUGGCUUAGAAGCAGCCAUCAUUUAAAGAAAGCGUAAUAGCUCACUGGUCGAGUCGGCCUGCGCGGAAGAUGUAACGGGGCUAAACCAUGCACCGAAGCUGCGGCAGCGACGCUUAUGCGUUGUUGGGUAGGGGAGCGUUCUGUAAGCCUGCGAAGGUGUGCUGUGAGGCAUGCUGGAGGUAUCAGAAGUGCGAAUGCUGACAUAAGUAACGAUAAAGCGGGUGAAAAGCCCGCUCGCCGGAAGACCAAGGGUUCCUGUCCAACGUUAAUCGGGGCAGGGUGAGUCGACCCCUAAGGCGAGGCCGAAAGGCGUAGUCGAUGGGAAACAGGUUAAUAUUCCUGUACUUGGUGUUACUGCGAAGGGGGGACGGAGAAGGCUAUGUUGGCCGGGCGACGGUUGUCCCGGUUUAAGCGUGUAGGCUGGUUUUCCAGGCAAAUCCGGAAAAUCAAGGCUGAGGCGUGAUGACGAGGUACUACGGUGCUGAAGCAACAAAUGCCCUGCUUCCAGGAAAAGCCUCUAAGCAUCAGGUAACAUCAAAUCGUACCCCAAACCGACACAGGUGGUCAGGUAGAGAAUACCAAGGCGCUUGAGAGAACUCGGGUGAAGGAACUAGGCAAAAUGGUGCCGUAACUUCGGGAGAAGGCACGCUGAUAUGUAGGUGAAGUCCCUUGCGGAUGGAGCUGAAAUCAGUCGAAGAUACCAGCUGGCUGCAACUGUUUAUUAAAAACACAGCACUGUGCAAACACGAAAGUGGACGUAUACGGUGUGACGCCUGCCCGGUGCCGGAAGGUUAAUUGAUGGGGUUAGCGGUAACGCGAAGCUCUUGAUCGAAGCCCCGGUAAACGGCGGCCGUAACUAUAACGGUCCUAAGGUAGCGAAAUUCCUUGUCGGGUAAGUUCCGACCUGCACGAAUGGCGUAAUGAUGGCCAGGCUGUCUCCACCCGAGACUCAGUGAAAUUGAACUCGCUGUGAAGAUGCAGUGUACCCGCGGCAAGACGGAAAGACCCCGUGAACCUUUACUAUAGCUUGACACUGAACAUUGAGCCUUGAUGUGUAGGAUAGGUGGGAGGCUUUGAAGUGUGGACGCCAGUCUGCAUGGAGCCGACCUUGAAAUACCACCCUUUAAUGUUU